GGAUUAGAUACCCUGGUAGUCCUAGCUGUAAACGAUGGAUACUAGACGUAGGAACUGGAUUGACGGUUUCAGUGUCGCAGCGAAAGCAGUAAACACACCGCCUGGGGAGUACGACCGCAAGGUUAAAACUCAAAUGAAUUGACGGGGACCCGCACAAGUAGUGGAGCAUGUGGUUUAAUUCGAAGAUACGCGCAGAACCUUACCAACACUUGACAUGUUCGUCGCGGCUCUAAGAGAUUAGAGCUUUCGGUUCGGCCGGACGAAACACAGGUGCUGCAUGGCUGUCGUCAGCUCGUGCCG
rnacentral:rRNA from 1 species